UCCGUAGGUGGAUAAUUAAGUCAGAGGUGAAAUCCUGCAGCUCAACUGUAGAAUUGCCUUUGAUACUGGUUAUCUUGUGUCAUUAUGAAGUGGUUAGAAUGUGUAGUGUAGCGGUGAAAUGCAUAGAUAUUACACAGAAUACCGAUUGCGAAGGCAGAUCACUAAUAAUGUACUGACACUGAGGGACGAAAGCGUGGGGAGCGAACAGGAUUAGAUACCCUGGUAGUCC
rnacentral:rRNA from 1 species